rnacentral:lncRNA from 1 species
GAUGGGUUACUACAAAAUACCUCUUUCGUAGAGCAAAACCAAAUCAUAGAUGGAAGGAGAGUAAAGCAUUGAGAGGUUCGCUACGCAGGAGAGAUGGCGCCGUCGUCGAUCAUGACCCUGUUGGGGGGGGGGGGGGGGGGCUGGGACGCCAGCAUCAUCUCUUCUGCAUAGGAAACCUUGCAUAUGCACGAAAACCACUACCGUGGCAAACAAUGGCAACCAGAAGUUUUAGUUUUGGUGAAAAUGGGGUUCAAUUUUCUCUGUCUUGGCAAAAUACUAAGAGCACAGCAAACUUAGUACACUUCAAAAGAGUAGUAUUUUCAUUUUGUUCUGAUCCUUACAGUUUGCUGUUUACUCUUCGUUUUGCAGGUGCAAAAUGCCUGCAUUUUCAGCUCAUAUAUGUCUCUGGUGCAAGUUCUCUCGGUUUCUUCUGUGCCAAGCUUAGACUUUCAUGGCAUGAUAUUUUUCCCCGAGAAAAGCAUAAGAAGGAGCCCACACUUCCAAGCUUACAAGCAUCUAAACAACUAGCUGCAUAAAACCUGGUUACCGAUGUCUCUAUUUUAUUUUGUUUGUUUGUUUUUUGUUUUCAUAACAAUAAAGAAUGUCAUCUCAUAUAAAACAUUCCUUGAUAGUGGAUAACUCAUCCAAAUUAUUGUAACAUUACAUGUACUCUCUUGGAAAUGAAGUGUUUUUACCUAAAAUUCAUUUUGAUUGUUAAUUUGUUGGUCUAAGAUUCAACUGAGUCAGGCAUACUAGAAAGCUAGAUCCAGGUAAUGUUCUGUUUUUGCUUCUAUGUAUGCUUAGCCAAGAUUCA